rnacentral:rRNA from 1 species
GAUGAACGCUGGCGGCGUGCCUAAUGCAUGCAAGUCGAGCGAACGGACGAGAAGCUUGCUUCUCUAAUGUUAGCGGCGGACGGGUGAGUAACACGUGGAUAACCUACCUAUAAGACUGGGAUAACUUCGGGAAACCGUAGCUAAUACCGGAUAAUAUUUUGAACCGCAUGGUUCAAAAGUGAAAGACGGUCUUGCUGUCACUUAUAGAUGGAUCCGCGCUGCAUUAGCUAGUUGGUAAGGUAACGGCUUACCAAGGCAACGAUGCAUAGCCGACCUGAGAGGGUGAUCGGCCACACUGGAACUGAGACACGGUCCAGACUCCUACGGGAGGCAGCAGUAGGGAAUCUUCCGCAAUGGGCGAAAGCCUGACGGAGCAACGCCGCGUGAGUGAUGAAGGUCUUCGGAUCGUAAAACUCUGUUAUUAGGGAAGAACAUAUGUGUAAGUAACUGUGCACAUCUUGACGGUACCUAAUCAGAAAGCCACGGCUAACUACGUG